AUUGAACGCUGGCGGCAGGCCUAACACAUGCAAGUCGAGCGGAGCGGCGGACGGGUGAGUAAUGCCUAGGAAUCUGCCUGGUAGUGGGGGAUAACGUCCGGAAACGGGCGCUAAUACCGCAUACUAUCAGAUGAGCCUAGGUCGGCUUAGCUAGUUGGUGGGGUAAAGGCCUACCAAGGCGACGAUCCGUAACUGGUCUGAGAGGAUGAUCAGUCACACUGGAACUGAGACACGGUCCAGAGCACGACGGGAGGGAGCAGGGGGGAAUAUUGGACAAUGGGCGAAAGCCUGAUCCAGCCAUGCCGCGUGUGGGAAGAAGGUUUUCGGAUUGUAAAGCACUUUAAGUUGGGAGGCGUUACCAACAGAAUAAGCACCGGCUAACUCCGUGCCAGCAGCCGCGUAAUUC
rnacentral:rRNA from 1 species